GUUGGUCAUGCAAGCCAGUAAACAGAGAAGAGAGCAACUGCUUCAACAGGAACAUUCUGACAACUUCAGCAGUAUUUACAUUUCCUGCUCAUGUCUUAAAGCCUGACUUUGACCUGUUUAAGUCACUCUGACUGUGUACAGUGGGCAUCGAUCCUCCUCAUCUGAGAUGUUUAUCACUGUAACAUCAAAAACAUCCCAGUAUACUGUAAACCAUUUCAACCCACUUAAAUUUAAAACUUAAGUUUAACUACUGCCUUUAAAUUUGAGGUAAAAUCAAAGUGUAUAGGUUAGAACUUAUGGUGAACAAGUUCACUGAACUUUUUUAACCACUUUGAAUUUAUUUAUUGCUGUAGAAAAUCAAGGGAACUCAUAAAGAAAUUCAUAACAUUUGAAAGAAAUGGCAGAAAUUAUUGCAACAAUUUAAAUGGAUGAAAGCAAAUAUGUUGUAUUAACAAAUAAAUUGGGGGAAAAAAAUACAGUGCAGACAGGAUUUCCGAAUACAUAAUUGUAAAAAAAAUUGUUUAGCAAACAGUGCUAUAGAAUGAGGUAAAAAUUCAGAUUUUUUAUUAGUACUGUAGUAUAAUAGUAAUUAUAUAGUUUAUUAUGAAGUCCUUUCAUUAUAUUAAUCACACUUAUUUAAAGAAUCUUAGUUGUGUCUUCUCCAGGAACAUUCAUAUGUCUUGUAAACGGUGUCAAGAAAAUUCAUCCCACUGGAAUGAGCAGUUUUCUGUCUCUGCUCUCUGUGAAGAUUGUGGUUUUGAUCCUGAUAAUGUCACCUAUUACUGGAAACUUUACCUGGUCAACGCCUCAAGCAAAGUUGUUACAGAAGUCCCAUUCUGCAGCACUAUGGAUCUAGGUUUCCCUAAAUGGAGGAUAGCUUUUAUCCAUCCCAAAAGCCUGUUGUGACACCUUACACUCCAGCCCAUCUUACUGAGCUCUCUGUUCCAGUGUCUCUGGCACUAUCUAAUGCUAUUGACCCUACUGCUUCGAUUACACAAGAUGCAUUGACUCCAGUGAUACAUACAAGACCUCAUAAUAUAAAUGUACACAUUCUAACUGAAAGUCCCAACACAGGCACAUUCAAAUGUGCAACAUUUCCGAUCACCACACCUUCACACCCUCUGUUCUUCCCUGGAGAGUCUUCUGGGGGUCAGUGGGAGUACCAGGGGACUCUACAACCCACAGAUAGUGUGUCAUCAACUGAUGUGAUCUCAGACUAUGAUUACUAUAAUUUUGGAAUUGAAGAGGCUGAUCCUGGUGUCCCAAUCGGCAGACCAACAGGGGUUGAUUCAAUGGGUUUUAGUUGAAUGAAGAUUAAUUCCCUCACUCUCCUGACCAUGAGGGUGAUAACCUGGUGGAACAUAGCCUGCUUGACCAUGCAGUAUAUUAGAGGACCCUGUUAGAUCUGCACAGACAGCCAAUCCAUCUGGCUGUGUUUGAGUCUUACACUCUCACAGGUUCUGGGAAGCGGCUGUGGGGGAAAAGCCAGCUGUUCUUCCACACACAAGCUGUUCCUGAGGGAAUGAGCUGCCAAGUGCAGCCCAACACAGGCUUUGAAAUCCACACUCAUUUCAGCAUCUUCUGCUCCUCAGGAAAAGAGGGUCUCUUGUAUGAGUACAGUUUCAGAGUGGGAAACAGUCAGAGGAGUGUUCUUUAUGAAGGUCGAGAUUUCCAACACUACUUUAGUCUGCCUAGUGGAGAUCCUGAGGAUGAUCACAAAGUUACAAUCUAUAUUGAAAUAAAGAAUAGAUUUGGAGCAGCCACCAUACCAUGCCCUGUGACUGUUACUGUCCUGCCAAGCUUUCAGAGAAACUCAUCCUCUCAGCUCAACCUUGAUCAAGAACUGUAGAGAAAUGUAGUUGAGGGUGUCUCUGUUGCUCCUGAUUAUACUUAGACUGGUUAAGUUAACUAUUCCAUAAAUAUACCUGGGAGAAAGAAUAAAUGUUUAAAAGUCAUUUGAAUCCCAAUGCAUUAAACAAAAAUGAGGGAAUUCAUUUGAAUUCAAAUGUGAGUGUUUGUGUGCGUGCGUGCGUGCGUGUGUUUCUCUUCUGAGCACUGUGCUGAACCGCCUGAGUUUGGACCAAGAGUCCUCUGUUGAGCUUCUGACGCUCACAUGCACCACCCUCAUUUCUGCCAUCUAUCAGCUGACCAUCACUGACCAGGUAACUUUGGACAGUGCAGUACAAGUAAAACCCAGCAUGUUCAAAGCAUCACAUCCCUAUUUCAUGAGUCCAAACUUCCGGCAGGCCAUAUACUGGACAUUGGGUUGGUAAAUGCCCUGGCAUUUUCCUGACUGGUGUCUUGGAGGCUCCAGUGCUCUCAUCCAGACCAGGACCCCAACUGAUCCACAAUGUUUUGAACACCAUCACUGACUUAGUGCUGAGGAGUAUGCUGUCCAGCAAUCUCACACAGUACAAUAUGAACACCAGUUUUAUGGAACUGUUCGCCUGGAAGGAUGACCGCUCUCAUACUAUGGUGAAAACAUGUGGCAUCACCACGUUCCACCUCACAAAUUUUCUGGAGAUGCAAUUUCAGCAAUGGAGCAGCAAUGGCCAACACAAGCCUUGCAUUAUUACUCUGCUCACAGUGUACAAACAGAGUCCAUACCGCUGGAUGAGAGCCUCCAUGCAGGUACACUCCUAAUGCAUGGCUGAACUUGAGAAUAUUUGUGCUUUGCCCUCUGAAACAAAUUACAUUCUAAAAAUAAUGUGAUGUCAAAGCUCAGCUGAGACACGGCAGACAUUCGGCUCUACGACUGCACCACUAGGAAGGAAAUCAAAGAGCGACACCUGUCCACACCAAUCACCAUUGAAUUUCAGAGGAAAGAGAAGACAGAUGUAGAUAUUUUCCACUGCUUGAUCACAAUUUAGGGCAAAUCAUUUUCUUCUCCUCUUUGGUCAUUCUGAUUUGUGUUUAACUUUUCCCCAGCAGAGUUGACAUACAGAGUUCACUCUUCUACGUAGUCAGGUGAACACUCAUCAGUUCAAUGUUACACCAAAGAUCCUUCAGAAUGCCCUUCAGAUCACUGUGCGAUUUAUCAGGCCAGCUGAACGCUCUUUCCCCAUCCCACUACUGCUCAGGUGGGAGGACAGCUGUAUUUCAGUCAUAUAUUUAUACACAAGGCUCCCUAGGUCAUGGAAAACAUGGGAAUAUAAGGGAAUUUUACAACUGUGUUUUACAGGCCUGGAAAAGUCAAGGAAAUGGAUAAAAUCUUAAAAGUGAUGAAAAUAUCUAUAGUGAAUAUACAUUUGAUUUUUGUAAUUAUAUGUGUAUUGUAUUAAUGAAUACAUACAGUAUAUUGCUGUAUUGCUAUUUCAAGUAGAGCUAUUUCUACUUGACCCAACCCAUAAAAAAUACAUUUGUUGGUGUAACCUAAUUUAUCAUCUUGAUUUAGUCAGAUUAAAUAAAAAUUUUCAGUUGAUUUAGA